rnacentral:misc_RNA from 1 species
AAUCCGAGAAUUUCACCUCCAAGCGUGUGUACCAAUCGCCGUUCCAGACGAUCAGGAUCUGCUCGAUGAGGGAGUUGAAAGUUGAUUGGUCCAAGAGUGCGCCGGGAAUGGGGCCGAGCAGGUCCUCCUGGUCGGCAGCACCAACGAACAUCGCAGUGUGACCGUUGACCGCCACCACCUGGAUCCGUGAGAUGACGUCGCGGAGUAGCGCCUCGUCCUCUUCGAGAAGUGUGCGGAUAUCAGUGCAACCGGCAGCGCGUUGCUCGGCGCAGAACUGUUCCACGUCUGACCAGUCCUCCAGCCAGAUUGGAGCUGGAAUUA